rnacentral:rRNA from 1 species
GACGAACGCUGGCGGCGUGCUUAACACAUGCAAGUCGAGCGGAAAGGCCCUUCGGGGUACUCGAGCGGCGAACGGGUGAGUAACACGUGAGUAAUCUGCCCUUCACUCUGGGAUAGCCACCGGAAACGGUGAUUAAUACCGGAUACGACCGCGGACCGCAUGGUCUUGUGGUGGAAACUUUUUUGGGUGGGGGAUGUGCUCGCGGCCUAUCAGCUUGUUGGUGGGGUAAUGGCCUACCAAGGCUUCGACGGGUAGCCGGCCUGAGAGGGUGACCGGCCACACUGGGACUGAGACACGGCCCAGACUCCUACGGGAGGCAGCAGUGGGGAAUAUUGGACAAUGGGCGGAAGCCUGAUCCAGCAACGCCGCGUGAGGGAUGACGGCCUUCGGGUUGUAAACCUCUUUCAGCACCGACGAAGCGAGAGUGACGGUAGGUGCAGAAGAAGGACCGGCCAACUACG